AUUGAACGCUGGCGGCAGGCCUAACACAUGCAAGUCGAGCGAGCGGCGGACGGGUGUGUAAUGUAUGGGGACUGCCCGAUAGAGGGGGAUAACUACUGGAAACGGUAGCUAAUACCGCAUACUAUCGGAUAACCCAUAUUGGAUUAGCUAGUAGGUGGGGUAAUGGCUUCCCUAGGCGACGAUCUCUAGCUGGUCUGAGAGGAUGAUCAGCCACACUGGGACUGAGACACGGCCCAGACUCCUACGGAGGCAGCAGUGGGGAAUAUUGCACAAUGGGCGCAAGCCUGAUGCAGCCAGGCCGCGUGUAUGAAGAAGGCCCUAGGGUUGUAAAGUACUUUCAUUCGGGAGGCGUUACCGACAGAAUAAGCAACGGCUAACUACGUGCCAGCCGCCGCGGUAAUUC
rnacentral:rRNA from 1 species